rnacentral:rRNA from 1 species
UACGUAGGGACCAAGCGUUGUUCGGAUUUACUGGGCGUAAAGGGCGCGUAGGCGGCGUGACAAGUCACUUGUGAAAUCUCUGGGCUUAACCCAGAACGGCCAAGUGAAACUGUUGUGCUAGAGUGCGGAAGGGGCAAUCGGAAUUCUCGGUGUAGCGGUGAAAUGCGUAGAUAUCGAGAGGAACACCAGUGGCGAAGGCGAGUCUCUGGACGAUUCCUGACACUGAGGCACGAAAGCCAGGGGAGCAAACGGG